GCCGGGCGUGGUGGCGUGCGUCUGUAGUCCCAGCCACUUGGGAGGCUGAGAUAGGAGAAUUACUUGAACCCAGGAGGUGGUUGGAGGUUGCAGUGAACCAAGAUCACGCCACUGCACUCCAGCCUGGGUGACAGAGUGAGACUCUGUCUCAA
rnacentral:SRP_RNA from 1 species